rnacentral:tRNA from 1 species
GAGGGUAUAGCUCGGUGGUAGAGCACAUGCUUAGCAUGCACGAGGUCCUGGGUUCAAUCCCCAGUACCUCCA